UGGUGAGGUUGGCAGCCAUCAAGCCCCAAUGAUGUCAUCUGUCCAUCUCUCCUUCCCCUGUGCUGAGGUACACAGGGCUUUUACAUGGGCGCUAGGGACUUGAUCUCAGGUCAAGUUCUUCCCUGGCAGUCACCUCCUGAGCUCUUUACAAGAGACAUACCCUGAGGAGCUCUAAACCACAGAGGAGGGGCUGAACCACUUGGUUCAAGUCUCCUGUCACCCUGAGACCCUGUGAGGGCACAGAGCACUCUCCCAUGCCAUUAGUAGUGUCCACCCAGUCACAGCCUCCAGCCUUCUAAGAGCCCUCACCACCCUUAAAAAUGUCCCUCCUGUGACCAUUACUUUCCCAGUGGCCCAAAGCACCCUGAACUUGAGACCUCAGCCCAGGACCUGGAGUUAAAAUGGUGGGUUGUGAAGCCAAGGUUCCUGAAUCCAAGGUCCUUCUGCGCAUCUAAGGCUGCAGGAACUUGGGCAUCAGCCUCCCCUUAUCUGGGCACCUGCUUUCCCUUCACAGGGUGGCUGCCAGCACGCAGCCGGAUAUCCAGUGUGGGUGUCAACUUUUGAGUGUCACCUCCUUUGGGUCACCUGUCUAGAAGUCUUGUGUUUAUGUGGAUGUACAAGUGUGUCGGAGGGUCAGCCUCAGCUGGUGGUCCCCACUUGCUAUCCAUGUUUUCUAUUAAAAUGUUCUAUUUGGGCUGGAAA
rnacentral:lncRNA from 1 species